rnacentral:tRNA from 1 species
GGGGAUAUGGCGAAAUGGUAGACGCUGCGGACUCAAAAUCCGCUGGUCUUUAUAGGACCAUGAGGGUUCGAGUCCCUCCAUCCCCA